AAAGGCCAUGGGGAACGAACCAGGAUUAGAUACCCUGGUAGUCCCAAUUCCGUAACCGUUGGGGCACUUAGGUUUGGGAACAUUCCCACGUUUUUCCGGCGCCGGUAGCUAACGCCAUUAAGUGCCCCGCCUGGGGAAGUACGCCGCAAGGCUUAAAACUCAAAGGAAUUGACGGGGGCCCGCACAAACGACGGAGCAUGCGGGAUUAAUUCGAUGCAACGCGAAGAACCUUACCAAGGCUUGACAUACACCGGACCGGGCCAGAGAUGGUCUUUCCCCCUUGUGGGGCUGGUGUACAGGUGGUGCAUGGUUGUCGUCAGCUCGUGUCGUGAGAUGUUGGGUUAAGUCCCGCAACGAGCGCAACCCUCGUUCUAUGUUGCCAGCACGUGAUGGUGGGGACUCAUAGGAGACUGCCGGGGUCAACUCGGAGGAAGGUGGGGAUGACGUCUAAUCAUCAUGCCCCUUAUGUCUUGGGCUUAGAGCGCAUGCUACAAUGGCCAGUACAAUGGGUUGUCGAUGCCGCGAGGUGGAGCUAAUCCCAAAAAGCUGGUCUCAGUUCGGAUCGUGGUCUGCAACUCGACCACGUGAAGUCGGAGUCGCUAGUAAUCGCAGAUCAGCAACGCUGCGGUGAAUACGUUCCCGGGCCUUGUACACACCGCCCGUCAAGUCACGAAAGUUGGUAACACCCGAAGCCGGUGGCCUAACCCUUGUGGGGGGAGCCGU
rnacentral:rRNA from 1 species